rnacentral:piRNA from 1 species
GACAGUCUUUGCCCCAUCAGCAGUGU